UACGGAGGGUGCGAGCGUUGUCCGGAAUCAUUGGGCGUAAAAGGCGCGUAGGUGGCGGGACAAGCGUGCGGUGAAAGCUUGGGGCUCAACCCCGAGUCGGCCGUGCGAACUGUCUUGCUUGAGCACUGUAGAGGCAGGCGGAAUUCCGGGUGUAGCGGUGGAAUGCGUAGAGAUCCGGAAGAACACCGGUGGCGAAGGCGGCUCACUGGCUCGUAUCUGACGCUCAGGCGCGACAGCGUGGGGAUCAAACAGG
rnacentral:rRNA from 1 species